ACGGGGGAGUAAAAGCCGCUGGCAGUCCCUUUUCUUCAAAUUCACUACGUUGGGAGCUGAAAGCCAGUUUUUCACAUUAUUCUCGUAGAAAUUCUAUAUCAUUCUUCUGGCUGUUCGUGCAUAGCAAAGUGCAUCAGCUAUUUUAAAUUUUUGUUACUUAAAGCUGUGUUUCUACAUCAAUUGGUUAGCAGUUUUAAUUUGAAAAAUGUCUGGUAGACAAGGUGGCAAAAAGAAACCAUUAAAAGCUCCUAAAAAGGAUAAAGGUGAAUGUGAGGAUGAUGCUGAUUACAAGCAAAAGCAAAGAGAACAGGAAAAAGCCUUAAAAGAAGCAAGAGAAAGAGCUGCCAAAGGAGGACCUUUAGGUGUUGGUGGUAUCAAGAAGUCUGGAAAGAAAUGAGAAUAAUUUAAUUUGGAUAAUUUUUGAAGAUGAUGACUUAAAAGAGUUUUCUAAGCGCCAUAUUUGGUUGAAAAAACUAAAAUGUGUUUGUAAAUAUUCAUAUUGGCCUUGAAUAAAAUCUUUUUACUUUUUA